rnacentral:rRNA from 1 species
CAUGUGUAAGUAUAAAUAUUUGACUUUGAAACUGCGAAUGGCUCAUUAUAUCAGUUAUAGUUUAUUUGAUGAACAAUACUACUUGGAUAACCGUAGUAAUUCUAGAGCUAAUACAUGAUAAAAUCCUCGACUUUGAAGAGGUGUAUUUAUUAGAAUGAAACCAAGAGACUUCGGUCUAUUUGUGAGUAAUAAUAACUAAUCGUAUCGCAUGCUUAGGUAGCGAUAUGUCUUUCAAGUUUCUGCCCUAUCAGCUUUGGAUGGUAGUGUAUUGGACUACCAUGGCAGUAACGGGUAACGAAGAAUUUGGGUUCGAUUUCGGAGAGGGAGCCUGAGAGAUGGCUACCACAUCCAAGGAAGGCAGCAGGCGCGUAAAUUACCCAAUCCUGACAUAGGGAGGUAGUGACAAUAAAUCACAAUGCGGAACUAUUAGUUUUGCAAUUGGAUUGAGAACAAUGUACAAAUGUUAUCGAUAAACAAUUGGAGGGCAAGUCUGGUGCCAGCAGCCGCGGUAAUUCCAGCUCCAAUAGCGUAUAUUAACGUUGUU